GAUGGGAGAGAGAACAGGGCAGGAGAGAGGAUGGGAACAGGGCAGGAGAGAGAAUAGGAUUAGGAGAAAGGCGAUCCCUUUGGGGGAGGGGCGCGUGGAGUAUGUGUGUGAGUGUGCGUGUGUGCAAGGUGUGGUUGCACGGAUGCUCGUUGCUUCUGCGUAUCUGCGGGUGUGUGCCUCUUUGUAUUGUAGCCUGGAGUCAGUGCUCGCUUCUGCGCCUGCAGGAUGUCCAUGUGUCUGCUGGGUGGGUCUGUGCCUUUGGGCUUUGCCGUUCGUGUCCGUGCCUUCGCCACUGGGGGCUGGUCUACAUUUGCGUUUCCGUACAUGGUUCUUUUUGUUUCUGGAGAGUAAAUUCCUGGAGCAAUUGCUAGGCCUGCCUGCUGUCACCUGGCUGACAGGCCCGCCCCCUUCUCUCAGCAGCCUAGGGCCUAGGCCCGGGCCACCAUGGCGCUGCCUCCAGGCCCAGCCGCCCUCCGGCACACACUGCUGCUCCUGCCAGCCCUUCUGAGCUCAGGGGGGCCUGGCACCCCCAGAUUGGCCUGGUAUCUGGAUGGACAGCUGCAGG
rnacentral:lncRNA from 1 species